AGUGGCAAACGGGUGAGUAACACAUGGGUUACCUACCUCGAAGUGGGGAAUAACGACCCGAAAGGGUCGCUAAUACCGCAUAUGCGAGAGCAAAGUCGCGCUUCGGGAGGGGCCUGCGGCCCAUCAGGUAGUUGGCAGAGUAAAAGCCUACCAAGCCGAUGACGGGUAGCUGAUCUGAGAGGAUGACCAGCCACACUGGCACUGAGACACGGGCCAGACUCCUACAGGAGGCAGCAGCGAGGAAUAUUGCGCAAUGGGCGAAAGCCUGACGCAGUAACGCCGCGUGCGGGACGAAGGCCUUCGGGUCGUAAACCGCUUUUCGGAGGGACGAGGGACGGUACCUCUGGAAUAAGUCUCGGCUAACUACGUGCCAGCAGCCGCGGUAAAACG
rnacentral:rRNA from 1 species